AGCGAACGCUGGCGGCAGGCUUAACACAUGCAAGUCGAGCGGGCACUUUCGGGUGUCAGCGGCGGACGGGUGAGUAACGCGUGGUAACGUGCCCGCGGGUUCGGAAUAACUCAGGGAAACUUGAGCUAAUACCGGAUACGCCCCUUUGGGGAAAGGCUUGCUGCCGGAGGGUCGGCCCGCGUUUGAUUAGCUAGGUGGUGAGGUAACGGCUCACCAAGGCGACGAUCAGUAGCUGGUCUGAGAGGGUGAUCAGCCACACUGGGACUGAGACACGGCCCAGACUCCUACGGGAGGCAGCAGUGGGGAAUAUUGGACAAUGGGCGCAAGCCUGAUCCAGCCAUGCCGCGUGAGUGAUGAAGGCCUUAGGGUUGUAAAGCUCUUUUAUCCGGGACGAUAAUGACGGUACCGGAGGAAUAAGCCCCGGCUAACUUCGUG
rnacentral:rRNA from 1 species